UAAGGAAUAUUGGUCAAUGGACGCAAGUCUGAACCAGCCAUGCCGCGUGGAGGAUUAAGGCCCUCUGGGUUGUAAACUCCUUUUAUCUGGGCAGAAAUGUACUUUUUCUUGAGUACUUGACGGUACCAGAGGAAUAAGCACCGGCUAACUCCGUGCCAGCAGCCGCGGUAAUACGGAGGGUGCAAGCGUUAUCCGGAUUCACUGGGUUUAACGGGUGCGUAGGUGGGCAGGUAAGUCAGUGGUGAAAUCUCCGGGCUUAACCCGGAAACUGCCGUUGAUACGAUUUGUCUUGAAUAUUGU
rnacentral:rRNA from 1 species